GACGAACGCUGGCGGCGUGCCUAAUACAUGCAAGUAGAACGCACAGUUUAUACCGUAGCUUGCUACACCAUAGACUGUGAGUUGCGAACGGGUGAGUAACGCGUGGGUAACCUGCCUGGUAGCGGGGGAUAACUAUUGGAAACGAUAGCUAAUACCGCAUAAUAUUAAUUAUUGCAUGAUAAUUAAUUGAAAGGUGCAAUUGCACCACUACCAGAUGGACCUGCGUUGUAUUAGCUAGUAGGUGAGGUAACGGCUCACCUAGGCGACGAUACAUAGCCGACCUGAGAGGGUGAUCGGCCACACUGGGACUGAGACACGGCCCAGACUCCUACGGGAGGCAGCAGUAGGGAAUCUUCGGCAAUGGACGAAAGUCUGACCGAGCAACGCCGCGUGAGUGAAGAAGGUUUUCGGAUCGUAAAGCUCUGUUGUAAGAGAAGAACGGGUGUGAGAGUGGAAAGUUCACACUGUGACGGUAUCUUACCAGAAAGGGACGGCUAACUACGUG
rnacentral:rRNA from 1 species